UUCUUCUUUCCAACCGCAAAAAGAAAAAGGGGGGAAAUGAACCAGAUCUCUCCCCUCUCUCUCUAUACAGAUCCCAUCUUUUCCUCCCAUCUCUGAUCGCGAAGCGAAGAGGGGAGAACAACGAGACCUCAGAUCCCAGAUGCAAUCCAACUCAGAUCUCUGCAUCGAACCCUGGAGCGCCUCCCCUCCCACCUCGCCGACGCCCUCUUUCGCCGCCUCCGCCACCGCCACCUCCUCUACCCAUCCCUCCUCAAUAUUGCGUUGAAGAGGUUGAUUUGAGUGGGGAGAGCAUCGUGGAUGCUGAGUGGAUGGCUUAAUUGGGGGGAUUUCAGAAUCUUCGAAUUUUGAAGCUUUCGGAUUGCAGGAGUUUGAAUAUUCGAAUUCUGUAGGUAGUAAGGCUGCCUCUUCUCUGUUUUUGGAGCAGUGUUUGGAUUUUGCAUCUGGGUUUCAGUUUUUCAGAGUCUUUUGGGUGGAGCUUAGCCUAAAAGGGGCAUUUUCUGAUUUUCUGCGGUGCAACAUCAUGUUUUUAAAGUACUGACCAAGAUCUCAGAGCCCGAGAGGAGGUCAUCAUUUUUAACAGGAACAAACACAGGAGUUGGUGUAGCUUUGAAAGGAUCUUUAUGUGGAUAUGCAGCAGCUUGUGGUUGUUGGAAGUUUUAUUCAUGAAAAGGCAAUUUUGCCUUUGUGGAUAGUCCCACAUCGGAAAAUGAGAUGAAUAGUAAAGGGUAAUGGAAGCAAUAACCGUGCGUAACGGUCCAUUGGAUUCAGCGGGGGUUACAACUUUCAUCACCUAUAAAAGGAGGCUUGGAGCUCAUUCAGAUACACACAAACGAAGAGGAACACUUUCUAAACUCUCUUCUCUUCUCUACUCUCUUACCUCCAAGAAAUUUCGGCUACAUUUUACUGGGCAACCGUUUUCAUCUGAGCAUAAGCUCUGUGACUCACGCCCGAGUGCAGAGGCCGGCCGAUUCCGGGGGUUUUUACCGCUAGGGGAG